UGGGGGAUAUUGCACAAUGGGCGAAAGCCUGAUGCAGCGACGCCGCGUGGGGGAUGAACGCCUUCGGGUUGUAAACUUCUUUUGCUCUGAACAAGGCAUGCUAAUGGGUGUGUUGAGUGUAGGGGUUGAUUAGCGCCGGCUACCUACGUGCCAGCAGCCGCGGUAAUACGUCGGGCGCGAGCGUUGUCCGGAAUUAUUGGGCGUAAAGGGCUUGUAGGUGGCUGGUUGCGUCGGUCGUGAAAGCUCAUGGCUUAACUGUGGGUUUGCGGUGGGUACGGGCGGGCUUGAGUGCAGUAGGGGAGGCUGGAAUUCCUGGUGUAGCGGUGGAAUGCGCAGAUAUCAGGAGGAAUACCGGUGGCGAAGGCGGGUCUCUGGGCUGUUACUGACACUGAGGAGCGAAAGCAUGGGGAGCGAACAGG
rnacentral:rRNA from 1 species